GGGAUAUUGCGCAAUGGGGGCAACCCUGACGCAGCAACGCCGCGUGAAGGAUGAAGGUUUUCGGAUUGUAAACUUCUUUUCUUAGGGACGAAGAAUGACGGUACCUAAGGAAUAAGCUCCGGCUAACUACGUGCCAGCAGCCGCGGUAAUACGUAGGGAGCAAGCGUUGUCCGGAUUUACUGGGUGUAAAGGGUGCGUAGGCGGCUAUGUAAGUCAGAUGUGAAAUCUAUGGGCUCAACCCAUAAACUGCAUUUGAAACUACAGAGCUUGAGUGAAGUAGAGGCAGGCGGAAUUCCCGGUGUAGCGGUGAAAUGCGUAGAGAUAGGGAGGAACACCAGUGGCGAAGGCGGCCUGCUGGGCUGUAACUGACGCUGAGGCACGAAAGCGUGGGUAGCAAACA
rnacentral:rRNA from 1 species